ACCAUAAGUGACGACUUUUCAGAUUUGUCAGAAAUUUUUUAUGAGACAAGAGUUACUACCAAUAUACAAUGCGUAUUACUUUUUCAUUAGAAGAGCUGCUCUAAGAAAAGUUGAUAAUUUCCCAAACACAAAAUUGAUGACAUUUUAAGGCGAAACUUGUUAAUUGGACUAAUGAGAUUUUCCUAGAGACGAAACUAUGACAUGAGCUCAAAUCGAAUUGACGGAACUGUACAUGAUUGAUAGAGUAUAAAAACUAUUGCAAUUUCAACAUUGAUGGCAAUCAUAGUACCAACGGUAUAGUAGUGCCAUACAGUGACAGACAAUUUAUUUUAUGUAUCUCAAUACAGCAUUACUUACAACUUGUAUAGUUAUCAGCAUGCAAACAGUAGCAAUGUUCCAAACAUCUCAUUACAUAAGAAAUCGAACCAACCUCUCCGUCACUUGCAAUACAAAUAAGCUGGUGAAACACUGGAAUGUGAUAAUAAUAGUGCUAGUACUCCUAAUUAACUUUUCUAACGAUGGCGUAAAUGCAAACCCCAUCGCAAUAUUGUCCAGCAAUUCUGACAUAAACUCUGUAAAUCCCUACAGCUCAGUCAGUCUUUAUAGUGAUACAAACUUUAAAGGGUUCAAAACUGUUCUUAGGCAAUCCCAAGCGUGUACCAAUCUUAUUGGUGCCAUGAAUGAUGACGUUUCUUCUGUGGAUGUGGAAGGGGGAUGUGUGGUCCUCUGUGAACAUUCCAUGUGUCGAGGACGAUGUCAAGAAAUCCAUUACUAUACUUCGGAUCUUUCAAGACUUGGUUUGAACGACAUUGUGUCCUCACUUAAAUCUUGUGAAUCUUGAGAAAUGCCAGUAAAUAAACUGAAUCGUUUUGAAAUUUUAUCUAAGGAAGUGUUGCAUAUUUUGAUGCAUGUGAUCAGCUUAUUAUGUAUCAGCAUCCCAUCUCAACUUUUUCGGAACUCCAUGAGUUAUUGCUACCAAUUAUCUAUUACCCGGCCGGUGGUCUGUAAUCGAGUUGGGAUAUGGCACAGACUAAUUCAUAAUUGACCCGUUCCGACUGCUAAUGAAUUUUUAAGCUAAUACUAGGAAACCACAACUAUCAACACCCAUGGUACACACGCUACGAUGUCGUUAAGUUAUUGCCAUCAAUUGUCGGUCAGUGCUUAUCGUGGUUUAAUUUGGUCGGCCUUCUUUCAUGUCCAUCUUCCUUCCAGUAUAAAAGAAGCAUACUUUCCCUAUUUAUUGCAUGACGUUCCUAAUUUGUAUGAUUUUUUUGUAUACUUUUUACAAAGGCUGUAGAUCAGCAUUGGUCUUGAAAAAUCAACAGACCACUCACAAAGUUUGCGCCUUUCAGUAAUUUAUAGGAAUCAGUAAUUUGUCGGCCCUUCUCAAACUCAACAAGAAAAAAAUGCAAAAUAAAGUUAUUUUAGUGCUAUUACUUGUGAUGGUAGGAGGAAGGUGCAGUAGGGCCGACCCUCUUCCUGAAGUUCAUGUUGUAUUCUACAGUGACAAAGAUUUCAAAGGUCUAAGAUCUACGUAUAUUCUCAGUGACCAAUGCGCCAAUCUCAACGGACAACAAAAUGAUCACUUCUCAUCAGUAAACGUCGAAGGCCACUGUAUCGAAGUAUGUGAGCACGUUUAUUGUCGAGGGCCAUGCGUA